CUUAUCGAAACCCUAGUGUAGGCCGCCGUUUUGCUCUCAUAGUGAGACCGCGAAAAUCUUGACAUCAAUCGUCCAAGAUCUCGUCUCCCACCUCCACCGGUGCUAAAGUCGAAGCCAAACCGCCACGAACUCCCCUUUUGUAUCCAUCAAAUCGCCCAGAUUUAAAAUGCCUAAACGAGGUCGUCCGCGCUCCCAACCUUCACAAGAUGCAGAGAAGCAGCUUAGAUUAUACAUAGACGAUGUCGUGGACGACAUUAUUCCCGUUGCGCUGGCGAAAAAGUUUAGGGAUAGGUUGUCCGUGGGAGGCUCUAGUACGUCUGGAGAUGAUGGUGAGCAGACACAGACUAAAGGACGAAAGGGUGAUCGAUGGUACUGUCGACGGACCCCGUCGGAAUAGUUUAUGGAUAGUUUUGGUACUUUUGCACUUCUGAGAUUAGCCGUGACUUUGCAAUAUUUAUGUUCUGUGAUACAUUGUUUGUC